UAGAUGCACAACAGAGUUUGUAGACUGCCAUGUUAAACAAUGUCAACAGGAAACAAGCAGCAAGGGAAAAAGAAGAGCAAGAUUGACAUCAGUAGUCAAAAAUAAUAGAACAUCAGUUCUAAAAUUCCCCACACAUCAGUACACCUAUUUCUGGUUCUCUAGAUUGGUCUUGGUACAUGAUACAUAUUAAGCUUGGUCUUGGUACAUGAUACAUCUUAAGCUGGAGUUCGUCGCUAAGCAGUUCAACGAGGUGGAGAUUGGGGCACGGUGGAGUGUGACCGUGUGUGUGCAGACGGCCCACCGCAACUCACCGGCCGGAUCCCGCUCUUCAGUGUACAACAAGAAGUUCAUGUAUUGAUGCCCCUGGAGUCCAUGUAGCUCUGCUGCCGUGCUACCCUUAUUGGCCUCGGCUAUGUCGAAGGAGCUCCCUUAUGUUUAGUGGAUUCAACAAAAAAAUUCCCUGCUGCCACUGCAUCCUGAGUUCAAGGGAUUCCUUAGGCGCCUUCUACACCAUCUUGCUAAUGAUGCCAUCGUUGGAUGCCACAGCCAUGCUCAUCGUUCUUGUACUACCAUUCACAUACUGCUCCCUGUUUUACUCCAUGGAGAUCCAUAGAAAUAAGUUAUAUUCAGUUCGCCACUUUUACAAUUGAUGGUCCUAUGUUGACCGAAACAAUAGUUCAAGCUCCUAAAAAAGCAAUCAUGUGUAUGCUACAUCACUUUGAGGAACUACAGCAAACAAAAUAAGGAGAGCUUGGUACUACUUGAUUUUUUUAUAGUACUACUUGAAGCCUUUCUGUUGUAUACAUUGUCUCCUAUUUAUUAUAACCUCGUCAGAUUGUUGGA